UACGGAGGGGGCGAGCGUUGUCCGAAGUUACUGGGCGUAAAGCGCGCGUAGGCGGGUUGGCAAGUCCGCUGUGAAAGCCCGGUGCUUAACGCCGGAGGGUCGGUGGAUACUGCCAGUCUUGAAGGUGCUAGGGGAAGAUGGAAUUACCGGUGUAGCGGUGAAAUGCGUAGAUAUCGGUAGGAACACCAGUGGCGAAGGUGGUCUUCUGGAGCACUCUUGACGCUGAGGCGCGAAAGCCAGGGGAGCGAACGGG
rnacentral:rRNA from 1 species